rnacentral:sRNA from 1 species
AUUUUUGAAAAUAUAUUUAUAUUUCGGAUAUUUUCGGUUACCCAAAAUAUUUCAGUUAUUAUCUAUUUGGUUUCAGUUCUUUCGGUUAUAUAAUUUACUAUCCAUUCGGUUAUUUUUCAAUUUUUGGUUCGGUUCGGUUAUUUUUGUUUCGGUUCGGUACAUUCGGUUCUUGUUGUUUCCUAUGGAAAUCAUCAUGACCCUCUUGCUGAGCAGCUAAGAGUCCAAUACUAACGGAAACUGCGAGGAGGAACCAGAGGAGGAAGGCUAGAAGACUGGCCAUUCAGCAGGCAAAAUAGCAAGCCAACACCCAACCUUCAAGUCAAAAUACAAAAUCCAGAGAACACAAGAUAAAAGAGAAGAAUCCCACAGAGAUAGAGAGUGUUGAUAAGGAGGGUGAUAAGAAAGGUCUUCAACGCUUAGCAGCAAUGGUGUAGAAGAUAGAUAAAAAGAUAGAAAGAACGGUAUGAGAAAUGAAAGACCACUCAGAGAAUACCAUACAAACAACUUUAUCAACCGAUUUAUUGAAUUCGAGCCGGUUAUACUUUAGAAUUUAAGUUUUAGCUUUAAAAGUUUAGGUUAAGCUUUUCCUAAUUAGGAUGAUAAACCGAAAGGUUAACAAUAUAGUUAGUGAUAAAUGUAAAAUCUCUUACUUAACAUAUUGAGAUUUACCAACAAUGUUAUGGAUUUUUUUAAAAUUUUUUGUU